AGUUUUUAUACUUCAGACUGAGUCGUGUAAUAAAAUCUUUUGACUGCAUCAACCAAAACUUACCUUAUUUGCUUUUUAUUAUGUAAAUCUAUAUAGCUGCACAGCAAUUCAGUUAUAAUUUUAGGUCGAGAGGGACUGUAGUAUAUAAAUAACUGCAAUAUUGGAAAUCAAUGACCACAAAUUUUUUUUCGCAUCAAUUGAGGGUGCCAGCAUUUCCUAUUUUUAUUCAAAAUAUCGCAUCAGAAACAAAUGUCAGUAGUUUUCAUACCUCAGACUGACUCAUGUAACAAAAUGAUUUGUCUGCAUCAAUCAAAACUGACCAUAUUUGACAGCAUCAACCAAAACUGACCAUAUUUGACCACAUCAACCAAAACUGACCAUAUUUGCUCUUUUUUAUGUAACUCUUAUAGUCGCAUAGUAAAUCU
rnacentral:lncRNA from 1 species